GGAAAAAGGGAGUGGAUUCCUGAACUUCUCUUAUACAUAAUUUCCUAAAUAAGGGGUGAGUCUGCUGUGCCCAGUGAAGGAUUCAUCAGUAUAUAGGUUUUCCUUGAAGAGCACAUGUAUCUGAAGGUGAUGGGUGGAGAAAAAAAAAUCACAGAUCUAUGCCAACCAUGGUGAAGUGUGUCUUAGAGCACCUUUCCAUUUCACUUUUACCUGCCCAUUCAAAGAAAAAAAAUGUCUGCUUUCCAUGGAAGAUGUUUUGGCUUUUCAUCACAAAACCGAAAACCCAAGAACAGAAAACUUCUGGCUUUGUUUUUCAAUAAAAGUCAAAAUUCUCCACAAAAAAAGAGAAAUUUCUGACUCUGUCAACUAGUGUGUAUUAUCAGAGAGACUAAAAACAGAAAAGGAUAUACUGAUACUGCCAAAAGGUAUUUUAGUAAUGAGGGGACACUUCUCCA